rnacentral:lncRNA from 1 species
AUGUUCGUGUUCCAGGACACCUGGGCUGGGCUUUGCACCUUCCAGAACCUUCCAGGGUCCUCCAGAGGGGCACCAGCACUCCCUGCCUGCCCCAAAGGCUCAUCCUCUGCCACGGGCAGGAUCCAGCACAAGCACAGCCUGUUCCCAGAAAUCCCAGCUGGAAAAGGCCCUGUGGAAUCAUCUGCUCACCCUCCAGCCUGGAUGGAGGCACCUCAAGCGCUGCAGGAAUUCCCCCCUGGGACGAUAUCCUGGGGAGAUUUAAUAGCUGGGAAGUGUCCGUCCGUCCUUCCCUCCCUCCCUCCGGUCAUCCCCCGUGUCAUCCCUGCUGAUCUGCACGCUCCAGCCUCUCUCCCAGCCCUGCUCCAGUUGAUCCCCAGGAACAGCCACCCUUCCAGGCCCAUUGACUGCUCACUCAGCCUUGGCUGGGGCACAGCAGCCUUCUGUUCCAGCGCCCAGCCCAGCUGCUCCAGCACGCAGGAAUGGCCUGUCCCCAGCAUUCCCAAAGGUUCCAAACAUUCCCAACGGUUCCAAACAUUCCCAAAGGCCCCAAACAUUCCCAAAGGCCCCAAACAUUCCCAAAGGUUCCAAAUAUUCCCAAAGGUUCCAAAUAUUCCCAAAGGUCCCAAAUAUUCCCAAAGGUCCCAAAUAUUCCCAAAGGCCCCAAAUAUUCCCAAAGGCACAGGAAUGGUCCCAAACAUUCCCAAAGGCACAGGAAUGGUCCCAAACAUUCCCAAAGGCACAGGAAUGGUCCCAAACAUUCCCAAAGGCACAGGAAUGGUCCCCAAAUAUUCCCAAAGGCACAGGAAUGGUCCCAAAUAUUCCCAAAGGCACAGGAAUGGUCCCAAACAUUUCCAAAGGUCCCAAACAUUCCCAAAGGCACAGGAAAGGUUUUUCCCAGGAAUUGUUUGUCCCCAGCAUUCCCAAAGGCACAGGAAAGGUUUUUCCCAGGAAUGUUUGUCCCCAGCAUUCCCAAAGGCACAGGAAAGAUUUGUCCCCAGGAAUGUUUGUCCCCAGCAUUCCCAAAGGCACAGGAAUGGUUUUUCCCAGGAAUGUUUGUCCCCAGCAUUCCCAAAGGCAGCUCUGGAGCAGAGCCCACACAAAGCCGUCCCCUGUCACUCCCCGAGCCGGUACCUGGCACCACGGCCGCUGUCACUGUCCCCUCCCGGUCCCUUUGUGCUCUCAGGAUUUCUGAGCCGCUGCAGAGCUCCAGGGAAGCGCUGGCCCUGUGACCACAACAAUCCUUUAUUCUCUUUGCCGGCUCCCAAGGGGGAAUUUGGGAAUUGGUGCCAGGCUCCGGAGCGAGGUGGCGCGGUGACCGCGGGGACAGCGCUGGCAGGACGCUCCUCAGGUGACCAAAAACCACUCUGGGUUCUCCUCUCCAGGCUGAAGUGA